AGUGAACGCUGGCGGUAGGCCUAACACAUGCAAGUCGAACGGCAGCACAGUAAGAGCUUGCUCUUACGGGUGGCGAGUGGCGGACGGGUGAGGAAUACAUCGGAAUCUACUUUUUCGUGGGGGAUAACGUAGGGAAACUUACGCUAAUACCGCAUACGACCUACGGGUGAAAGCAGGGGAGCUUCGGACCUUGCGCGAUUGAAUGAGCCGAUGUCGGAUUAGCUAGUUGGCGGGGUAAAGGCCCACCAAGGCGACGAUCCGUAGCUGGUCUGAGAGGAUGGUCAGCGACACUGGAGCUGAGCCACGGUCCAGACUCCUACGGGAGGCAGCAGUGGGGAAUAUUGGACAAUGGGCGCAAGCCUGAUCCAGCCAUACCGCGUGGGUGAAGAAGGCCUUCGGGUUGUAAAGCCCUUUUGUUGGGAAAGAAAAGCAGCAGGUUAAUACCCCGCUGUUCUGACGGUACCCAAAGAAUAAGCACCGGCUAACUUCGUG
rnacentral:rRNA from 1 species